GUGUUCGCUUCAGCAGCAUUUAUACUAAAAUUGGAACAAUACUCAGAAGAUUAGCAUGGCCCCCACAGAAGGAUGACAUGCAAAUUCAUGAAGCAAAAAAGAAAGAA
rfam:Pteropus alecto contig17603, whole genome shotgun sequence.